AUAUGAUCACAAAAUUAUCUCUCACAGAACUCUAUGAUUACAAAAAAGUUACUUUUUUCUAUUAUCCACUUUUUUAUAAUAAUCAAAACCACAAAUCUUCUUUUUCUGUUUCAUGCAAAAAGCCCCCUUAGAUAUAACCCUGAAGGAAUGACGCUCUCAAAAGUUUGAGCAGGCUUAAAGCAACCUGUUUAGCUUUCGCCCCAAACCUCAGUGUUAUAAGAAGCAAAUUAUGCAAUUCUUGUCACCGCCCCCACUUUUUGUUUUAUUGUAUUUUGCUUUGUUUUAGGGAUUACAUUGAAAUCCAAACCCCUUUCAAACAAAGCACUUGUCUCUUUUUAGUCACUUGGUAUACACCUUAUGGCUUAAUGCCAAACUUCCAACAGAAUUUUGCAAGCUCAUCACAUUUAAUAGAAACCUUUUAUAAAUAUAGCUCCCAGAAUGUUUAUAUUCCAGCUUCAGUCAAAUUAUUAUUUUUUCUUUCAAUAUAUUUCUGGAUACAAGAUAGAAACUGGUUAUACAAAAUGAACAGUUAAGUUUUUUCCCCCUUUACUCCUGACUUAUCCCUCAAACUCUAUAGCUGUAGGACUGUCUAUUUAACUAUUAUUCCUCUCCGGGUCCUAAACUGGGUUGCUGGCUGGAGCUGACAUGAUAGCAGGAGUAGAAACCUAGCCAAGCAGCCUUCUCCUCUUUGUCACCUAUUAGUGAUGGCCCUGGUUGAUGGUCUUGUGAAUUAUUGAGUGACUGAAGUAAAUGGAUUAGGUCUGCAAAAUUUUGGCAUAUGUCAUUAGGAAGAUUAAGUCUUCUCUGCACCAAAACCAAAUGGAAAAAAGAUGAUAAUUGAAGAAAUACUUCAAGAUAGUCAGCUCUAUUUGUAACUUCUUGGGUAUCUUCUUGAAAUGUAGCACAUACUUAUCUAUUUUGACAGAGCCUGGUCAAUUAUUUUUCUUAAAAGCCAUUAAUCUGUCAUGGAACCAAACUGAUAUCACUAUGAUGCUACUUAUUAUUAGUUAUAAUUGCAAAAAUCUAGCAAUUUACAUAUAAUCUGCAUACUUCCAACAAUCAUUUCCAUGUCUUCAUAUAAUAAUUGAAUAUUAUUGUAGAAAUAGACUAAGGGGUGCUGUGAAUACAAUAUUGACUGAACUGUAGAAUUAAUGACAUUUGAGUCAAAGUAGAUGCAAGUAUUUCUCUUAAACAACUUUGAAAACAAUUCCUAAUAUGCUCCAGGCUUCACAUACAUGCAUGCACGCAUGUGCGCACACACACAAACAGGUUUUGUAAAAGCACAUCCUGGACCAUUCAUAACUGCUCCUCGGAACAUUUCUCUCAGGACACAAUUAUUUUGGCCCAACAAUGAACUUUUACUUGAGACUGGUCAUAAUUAAAAUGUCCUUUAUGCUGUUAAUCUAGAAUAAUUGUUGACAAAACUUUAAGGAAACAUUUAUGACUCAUCCUCUGAUUAUCACCCAACAAGACUUCUGCAAUGCCCUCUACGUAGAAUCACCCUUGAAGACCCUUUGGAAGCUACAUUUGGUUCAAAAUGCCCUGGCUCAAAUGAAGACAAAUGAAAACGGUUAUUUUAUCCUAUAAAGUUUUACAUGGUUUGGCACAUAAAUUAUAUGUAGGACCAACCUUUUCAUAUAAAAUGGGCUUGUCUGGUAGAGAUUUCCCACUGUAUGGAAAUAAAGACAGGUGCUUUUCUGUUCUGGUCCCCACCAGAACAGCAUCUUUAAAAUUAUUCUUCUUCCCUCCCUUUUUAACAUUUGAAUUUAGUUGUCCAUGCUGACUUUUCAAAAAUAUUGUUUUAAUUAAAAAUAUAAACAUGAAGCUGAUAUGUUGCAGAGUGCAUCUACUGCAUCUUCUAUUAUUUAUACUUACAAGCCAACAAAUCAAGCGUUCCACAAGCAUUACUGAAAAAUAUAACAAAUGAAUAGCUGGAGCCCGGCAGUUUGCUUGCAAAUGUAGCUGUAUGCUUAAGAGAAAAUUACAAGUACAAGGUAAGAUAGUAGAGCAUCCUGUGAGGCUAGUGAUGGUACGUAGGAUCAAUUCUACCACUUUGCGUUUUAAUCAAUGCGAGUUUUGUAAUAGUCAAACUAACCCAUUUUAUGAGACAAUUCAGGACACAGUCUUAAAAAUUAAGUUUCUAACCUGCCUAUGUAUAACUGAUUUAAAGUCAAUUUUUGAUAUAGGAAUAUAUUUUACAGUUACUGUAUACAGACAUACAGUACACACAGCGCAUUUGUACUUUGCAUCAAAGAAGCCUUCAUUGGCUUCAAGAGAAAGAAUUUCCCAGAAAAAAAAAAACAAUGAAUGCACUAUAUACAUCUUAAGCAGUUAGGCAAUGACAAUCAGUGCAUUAUUGAGAUAUUUGCAAGACAGAGUACAGUUGGCCCAGAGGUGACCUUUUCAAAGAAUGAUCACACCCAAGACUACCUAAGCACUAUUGCAUCACAACUUGAAAAUAAAAGGUUUUAUUCCUCUACGGUUUUGUACUGCUGUUAACACUGAAUACUGGCUACAAUAUAUAACAACCUGAAGGAAUUCUUCUUCUUCUAAGGUUUUGGAUAUAAAAAUGGGCAGAAGUUUGAUUGUGUGGUUGCAGCUGCAAUCUUGAUUUUUUUUUUUUUUGCCCUACCUCCUAAAGAUGCCUGCAAUAAAAAAUAAAAUAAAAUAAUAAAAUUAAAAUAAAAUAAAAUAAAAUAAAAUACAGAUAUUUCUUGACUUACCAUGGCAAUUGAGACUGGAAUUUCUAUCGCUAAGUGGUGUAAUUGUAAAGAGCAACUGCAUUGCUUAGUAACAGCAAUCCCUGUAGUCAUAUCCCUGUUAACUGAGUCUAACGGUGAGGCAAUUUCCUGCAAGAUUCCCGCAAACAAAGUUGAGGAAGAAGCCGGCAGGAAGCUGCAAGUCUACGGGCCACAAGCAGGUUAUACUUUAGCAAAGGAUAUACUGAGGAACAACAGAUUUUAUUGGACGUAACAAGGACUGAAACUGAUGGACUGGUGGUUUGGAGUUCAAAAAAUUCUGGACUCUAAAAAUGGUAUGGAAAAAAGAUGUUGUGGAUCUCAAAAAUUUAUUUAAAAAUGCCAGAACAUGAGAAUGAUACAGAAAACAAUGCCAAAAUGGAUUUACAAGUAAACCAGAGGAAUGACCUGGAAAGAAUUAAUACUUUGGAUUUACAAAAAAAAAAAAAAAAAAAAAAAAGUGUGGAACCAAGGAAACUUGCUAAUAUUUUAAAUUAUUAAAUUACCUACUAUCUGCAAGCCAACCAUCUGUCUCAGUUACUAUAAACUUUUUUUACAGUAAAAUUUGAGUAUUCUACAUUUGCACAAUCAAAUCAAAUUAUCAUUACUGUGGUUUUCCAUGGAUAGGUUAAGGCCCUUAAACUUUACCAAGUAUUUUAAAGGAAUAUGAUGUAUAAAUUUAAAAUGCCAAACAUAAUGGUCAGCCUUCAUAUGUCUGAAGCCUCUGUAGAAUUUGACAGAGAAGAGAAGAGAAGAGAAGAACAGAGAAGAAGCAUGACAUGCUAAAAACUCCAGGCAAUUUGCUCUGCCAAAAAUAGGAAGCUAUUUCAGUUGUCUGUCAUUGCAAUCAAUCAGCAAAGUGUGUGGAAAGGCACUUAACUAUCUACGUUGAUGGAGUAAUAGAAAAAAGUGGCUUCAUACUUUUGACUUCUGGCCAUUAAGAAACACAUGGAAAAAUGAGUGCUGAAACAUCUAUAAUAGAGUUUACUUAUAUUCCAAGAAAAGUUUUGGAAUUUUGGAAGCUAGUUGGUGCAUACACCGAAAAGAAAAACUGAUUUGUAUCCAUGCUCUUUUCUUCUCUGCUUUCAGACUAUGAAUGCACUUUUAAAGAAUUCGCAGGAAACUGAUAUGGACAUGUUUUUUAAAUGACCUGCUUUUUGUUCCUCAUUGCCCAAAUUUCUGCCUAUGUUGGUGUCGGGGUACUUCAAUUUGAAGCCUUAAAUGCAUGGAUACAAAUCAGUUUUUUUCCCCAAUGUAUGCACCAUCUGGCUUUCAAAAUACAUGAGUCAUUUCUUGUGUGGUUAUAGUUGUGCACAUUUAGAGAAGGCUGGAAAUAAUCUUGCCCCUCUAGUACUGUAAGUCCCUAAAUUUAGUGCUAAAUAAAAUCAAGCUCAAUCUACAAACCAUGAUUUAAUUUUAUCUGAAUUCAUUUUUGGCCUGUUUCACCUCAUCCAGAAGAAAAUAACUUUCACACACUGGGACAAGGCAACAAUGCAGUUCUGCAUAGUCCAAAAUGCCAAAGUACAAUCAGCAUAUUCAUAAUAUUUCAAAUUGAUAGAUGACCUUUUCCAAUGCCUUCAUGUAAACAUUAAAAAGAGUGGAGACCAAAUUUUGUAGCAUCCCACAACUCUGUAAUCACUUGGCCAAACACUUGUUUCCCACCUCUGGUUUUAGAGAUAAAUACUGUUAUGAUAUAUCUCUCUUCUGCUUUAGAUGUUUUGAUGUGCCUGACUUACUUGAAUCCCAACUUACAUAGCUAUACGCUUCCACGUUGCCACAUUAUAUCCUACUUAAGACUUUCAAAUCUGAAUAAUUUUGUCAGCAAAAUGCUGUGCACAGACAUCAUCCAGGAAAUCUAUCUACUAACAUUUCUGAAAAGGGAGUUGCCAUCCUAAAAGAGAUUGAUGUAUGGCGGUUUGCUGAUGCAAUAAGGAAGUUCCAUUAUGUCCAUGGUAUAGGCUUCAGUGUGAGCUUCAUUUGUUAUAUUGCUCGUCAACUCUAGGUAUUUCUUCUUCAUUUCUUCUACAGAAACUCCUGAGUAAACCAAAAGACUAGCUGGGAUUAGCUGACAGAGAGAGACUGCUCAGAAGCAAUCAUAUCAAAAGGCCUGGAUCAUCUAUAGAUUCUAUUGUCAAUGGCUAAGCAGGCAUUCAGUGGAACUCUCCAAAUGCUUGCCCGUAUUUAUCAGCAUCUAUCAGAUGCUGGGUGAAUCAUCUUAAUGAGCCUUCUUGUCACAUUGAUAGGUGACACGCAAUCUCAUCUGGACUAGUUGAGAUCUGAUCACAGCAUGGGGUUAACUGUAAUGCUCUCCAUGAUCAAAAUGUUCUGGCACAAAGACAAUGUCUAGCAUGUGGCUCCCUGAAUGUAUUGGGCCAUAGAUUACUUGAGAAAAGCCUAUGGUUCCAUGGAUCCCACAAGUUUCUUCAACCUGACAUCCAGGGCAUGGAAGCUGGAUCCACUUAAGACCAAAGUUGUACAGACUUCAACACCAGUGUAAAAACCAGGUUCAAGAGCUGAGGUCUGUACUACUGCAGGUCCCUACUUCUGCAGAUACUCUAGUUUAUCCUUGCUGCCCCAACUUACUAUACAGAUAUCCAUAUCCCACAGUUCAGGAGAAGGAUAUCUGUUCACAGGUAAGAUGUCUUGUAUGAUUAAUAUUACCUUCCUCAGCCUUGGUGUUGUUAAGUUGCUGAAUAACCUGAACAUUUAGAGGGAAAAUCUCUGAAGCGAUGACAUCACUGAUCUUGUAAUAUAUGCCAGGUUCAGUAAUAUAUGCCAAAUAUGCAUGUUCAUUUACCACAAGAUUGAGAAUGAACAAAGUUUUAUUACAAAUGCAACUGGCGUACACCAUCAGCAAUCCAUCAGUCAGGUUUAGACCAUUGAGUUGGAAGUAGAAAUUGACAGCAAAUUUUUUAUUUUCUUUCCUCCGACACAACAAAUCUAGUGUUUCUCACUAUAUCUUCCCUGACCAAUCAAAACUUGUAUUAGUCUGUCUCUACCCUCAGUAACACGAUUUUUGUAUCGUUCAUUCACCAGAACCUUUUCCCAAUUUCUUGACGGCCACAUAUAAUAGUCAAUAAUUGGGAUACAUCAAUUAUCAAACUGAUGCACCAACCACCCCCCAACUCUUAGGACAAAAAGGCCCUGCUUGUUCUGUCACUGCAGAUGGAAGCAUCUUCCCACCAAAGAUAAAAAGCUAGAGAUCCCACCUCACUUUUUUCCUUAAAGCACAUGGAAACCACACACCCUCUAGAUUUUAUUUCAGAAAUCCAUCAACUAAUACAGACCUACUUUUUGACCAGUCUUCAAAUAUCUUCAUUUUCUUUCUUUUCUGCAUGGCAUGUACAGCAGAGGUCCCCAACCUUUUGGGCACCAGGGACCAGUUCCACGAAGAAAAGUUUUUUUCAUGGACCGGAGAGUAUGUGGGUUUGUGUGCUGCCUGCAUCCCACGGAUGGGGCUUUGCUUGUUUGUGUGGCCCAGUUGCUGGCAUACCGUGGCCCGGUACCGGUCAAAGGAUCUGGGGUUGUAGACCCUUGAUGUCCAGUAUGUAGGGUGAAAAAAAGCUAUUAAUUCAAACCUGACCCAAAAUUCUUAGCCAAAUUAUAGAUAGCAUCUACUGCAGACUUUUUUGUGUUUUUAUGUGAUGGUAAACUAUACUAAAAUAAAGAAAAAAUAUACUAAGCAGGUUUAUAAUGCCCGGAUAUUUUUCUGUCUCCUCUUUCCUAUUUUUAAAAGCAUCUAUUCAUGAGAAAGUGAUAUUCGAAAAUAGUAGCUUGGCAAAAUAUUGGUUUCUUUAAGAAGGAUGAAUUAAAAAAACAAAACAAGGUUCUAUAGUUAGCUACACACAUUACUUCAUCCAAGGCCUCAUAUAUUAUUUGUAUAUGUAUCCUGGCAGGAGAAGGAUAGUGAAAGAGAUUUGUCACACAAGUCAGAAUCUAGUUUCUUAUUCUCAGUUGGGGCUGAAGAUUCUGACUUCAGUAAUAAAUGUUUCUAGCUGAGAUAAAAGUACUGACAAACACAUUUUAUUUUGAUUAAUGUAUACUUUAGAGUCCUGUGUGAAAUAUACUUAUUCAGUUAAAUACAUAUAGGAAAAAUUUUAUUUGCAUGACACAGUAAGAUUGCCACGCAUAUUUACACAUAUUAUAUCCAAUAAACAUGUCAGGGAAUGCAUUUGAUCUUACUGAAUGGAAAGCAAGAGUAGGUAUCAUUGCAUACAGUUUUUUGUUUUGUUUUUUUAAAAUAGAAAAGUAUUACCAGCAGUUGGAAAAGAGACAGCCCAGAAAGGUUUGCCAUAUCCGGGUUUUCUGAUUGUGAGUUUAAUCUCAAAAAUGAUCUAAGACAGUGGUUCUCAACCUGUGGGUCAGGACCCCAUUUGGGGUCGAAUGACCAUUUCACGGGGGUCGCCAAACCAUGCUGUCCGCCAUUUUUUUCCCUUUUCCCUAGCUGUCCUACUCUCUCU